rnacentral:misc_RNA from 1 species
AGAGAAAGCAAAAGGUAAGCUGUUUCUAUAUUAUUUCUUCUUUUUCUUAAAUGUGGCUUCCAGUUAUGCAACCUUGUAUUGUUUGCAUACCAUUCUUCAUUUGUAAGAUAAUUAUGUGUGCAUAUGCUUCAAUGCAAUCAUAAGUAGGGAUAGUUUAGUUCUUGGCUGGAUGUUGAAAUUCUUUGUGAUAGCAUUAGAGAGAUAGGAGAAG